rnacentral:rRNA from 1 species
AUGAAUGGUCCUCGGACUCGUACGCUCGCCUGGGAUUUGAUCCGGCCGUCUCCUCCCAUUUCUAUGUGUUCGAGUUGGUACUUGAGGAUGAAGAAACAGACUGCAGUUUCCCGUUCGAGUGCAGAGGCUAAGUUGAGAGCUAUGGCUCUUCUGACGGCGGAGGUGACGUGGUUACGAUGGCUACUUGAGGAUUUUGGUGUUUCUGUUACUACACCUACCACCCUCUUGUCCGACAAUACAGGUGCUAUCAGUAUUGCGCGGGACCCCGUGAAGCAUGAGCUUACCAAGCAUAUUGGUGUUGAUGCUUCUUAUGUGCGGCUGCUGUGCAGGAUCAUGUUAUUGCUCUUCAGUAUGUACCUUCCAAGUUACAACUAG